CAAGUCGAGCGGGGUUAUUUAGAAGCUUGCUUCUACAUAACCUAGCGGCGGACGGGUGAGUAACACGUAGGCAACCUGCCCACAAGACAGGGAUAACUACCGGAAACGGUAGCUAAUACCCGAUACAUCCUUUUCCUGCAUGGGAGAAGGAGGAAAGGCGGAGCAAUCUGUCACUUGUGGAUGGGCCUGCGGCGCAUUAGCUAGUUGGUGGGGUAAUGGCCUACCAAGGCGACGAUGCGUAGCCGACCUGAGAGGGUGAUCGGCCACACUGGGACUGAGACACGGCCCAGACUCCUACGGGAGGCAGCAGUAGGGAAUCUUCCGCAAUGGGCGAAAGCCUGACGGAGCAACGCCGCGUGAGUGAUGAAGGUUUUCGGAUCGUAAAGCUCUGUUGCCAGGGAAGAACGUCUUGUAGAGUAACUGCUACAAGAGUGACGGUACCUGAGAAGAAAGCCCCGGCUAACUACGUGCCAGCAGCCGCGGUAAUACGUAGGGGGCAAGCGUUGUCCGGAAUUAUUGGGCGUAAAGCGCGCGCAGGCGGCUCUUUAAGUCUGGUGUUUAAUCCCGAGGCUCAACUUCGGGUCGCACUGGAAAC
rnacentral:rRNA from 1 species